rfam:Neotoma lepida isolate 417 scaffold_202, whole genome shotgun sequence.
UGUCCUUNAGGUACAUCUUAUUUCAUUAUUUGGCUUCGAUAUUAUUCCUUCCUCUACAACUCAUGUUUGGAGCUUUUUGCUGCAAUUUUUUUUUUAACCUCAAAAAGAGUCUGAAAAGGAGGAAGACUAUCACUCA